rnacentral:lncRNA from 1 species
GCAGUCUCUGGAUGGUUCGCUGUAGCCACAGCUCUCUGACCCAACACAUCCGUGUCACAGUGCCUUCUCCAUGCCGAUCCCAACGCCAAGCCAAGCCUCCCUGUGAGGGAGGUUGGAAACGUUACCAAAGCCCGUGGACCAGCAGUGAAUAAUGUUUACCAGAGAUCUGGCUCACCAAGUUCUUAGUGCCUUCGAGCUAGCAAGGCCAAAGGCCCCUGCUCUUGGCUGCAACACCAUUCUGCUGCUCCGUGUAACUUCAGGUCAGUGAAGAUUUCUACACCAAACUCCAGCCAGACCAUCUAGAGGAUGUGCUUGGGGAAACGCCACAUUCAGAAGGAUUUUGUGCUCCUGUCCUUGCAAGAGCCAUCAGAACCAGCCGCACUUCAGAGAAUGAGCCAGAGUCACCAUGGGCUUGGAAAGUUGCUGGGGAAAGCUCAAGAGUUUCAAAAUGGUGCUGGAUCUCAUAAAAGGAAGUCUGAUGGAUUCAGCAGAGUUCAUAUAAACACCCCAGGAAGAACAGGGGAAAAUAACCCAGCAGCUCAUGUGCAGGUAAUCAGAGGUGAUGCAGUCCAGGUGGAGGGACUGGGGUGCAGAGACGAGGGUCUCAAUGAGAACAAUAGGAGAGGCUUGUUGAGGGAUGUGUUGUUG